rnacentral:rRNA from 1 species
CGCGAAACCUUUACACUGCACGAGAGUGCGAUAAGGGGACUCCCAGUGCGAGGGCAUACAGUCCUCGCUUUUCUGGACCGUAGGGAGGUCCAGGAACAAGUGCUGGGCAAGACCGGUGCCAGCCGCCGCGGUAAUACCGGCAGCACGAGUGWUGGCCGAUAUUAUUGGGCCUAAAGCGUCCGUAGCCGGCCAGACAAGUCCGUUGGGAAAUCCACGUGCUCAACACGUGGGCGUCCAGCGGAAACUGUCUGGCUUGGGGCCGGAAGACCCAAGGGGUACGUCCGGGGUAGGAGUGAAAUCCCGUAAUCCUGGACGGACCGCCGAUGGCGAAAGCACCUUGGGAGGACGGACCCGACGGUGAGGGACGAAAGCCAGGGUCUCGAACCGGAUUAGAUACCCGGGUAGUCCUGGCCGUAAACGAUGUCCGCUAGRUGUGGCGCAGGCUACGAGCCUGCGCUGUGCCGUAGGGAAGCCGUGAAGCGGACCGCCUGGGAAGUACGUCUGCAAAGAUGAAACUUAAAGGAAUUGGCGGGGGAGCACUACAACCGGAGGAGCCUGCGGUUUAAUUGGAAUCA